GCAUUGUUAGCUCAGUCGGUAGAGCAGCUGCAUUUUAACCAGCGGGUCGCAGGUUCGAUCCCUGUACAAUGUACCA
rnacentral:tRNA from 1 species